rnacentral:sRNA from 1 species
CCCCCGGAACAGCACUUUCAAGUUGGCAUUUUGAAAACAGAAAAGGAAGGGCAGAAAACCUGUCAAAGCAAAACACAGCAUCCAGAACUGAUGAAAUGAUGAAGAUAGAUACACUUCCAUUUUCUUUUCUGAAGCAUGGAGAGUAAAAUAUUACUUCAGUGAACACCCCCAAGAGAAGCGUUUUGUGAGGGCUCCCACUAGGUCACCAAGCUUGUAAGUUUCUGUUUGGAAGCUGCUUAUCUACCAUCUGCAGAGCAGGCUUGGGGGAAAGAGGCCCCAUGCUGUGAAACAAAGCUGCUUAGUGUCUGCAUGGGCACCUACAAGGCAGUUACUGACUGUUCCCUUGAUUAAAAAUACUCAAAGUAUUUUCAUUUAAAGUGAAAAGAGAGAAGCUGAGGAGCAGCAGGUGUAUUUAAGGCUGCAGGACUCUCCAGGCAAUUGCACUCAUUAUCUAGGAACACCUCACUGAUGCCCUGCUUCCUCUCCCAGCACAGUUCUCUGACUGCUUUUUCCCAGGAGCAAUCCAGGAUGUCUUUGCCUGCAGUUGGAUAGCAUCUACCUCACACACAGCAUAAUGUUCAGUUCCCCAAGUGGUUUGGGUUUGGCUGCUCUCUGAAGAUGGCAUCUUACGCUUUUGUCUCCUUGCUAGUAAUUGCAAAAGCAUGGGGGAAGAAAUCUUUAUUCCAAUUGUAAAAUUAAGUUCAAAACGACAGCCGAGUUAGUUAGAACAAAGGCUUCUCUGGUCCAGUUUUUUCCAAGAACAUUGUAAAAGAAUGAGUUUUGGGAUUUUUGUUUGUUUUAUUUUGUUUUUAAUGCCUGUAGUACCAGAGACUAGAUUUGGGACUUGCUUCAGUAACUAAGUUAGCUCUUCACCUGGGUUCAACAUCUUUUCCAAUUAUGCCUCAGCUCAAGCUCUUAGAAAAUGAGACUUCUAAAUCUGCUGGGCUGUUGUAGCAGUUCCAAGAGCUAUCUGCAGCCAAGCACCUUAGAGGCUACCUGUUAGCUUAGAGAUCAUGCAUAUUCCAAUGUUCUCUGGAGUUUGGAAGAUUUCUGUAGUAUCUAGAAGCUUCCAGAGCCAGAGAACUCACUUUGUUCUCAGAGGCAGUAUGUGUCAUUGUCAGACAAAAAGCAAUUGAUUUGUGUGUAGCAAGCCCACUGUGGGUUCAUGUCUCAGGAGCUUUCUAAUUAUAGUAUAUGUUUCCUUCCCAACCACUAUUUUAUCAUGAACUGAGCUCUCCUUUCUUGUCGAUUUUCUCCCAACCUUUGUCUUCCUUUGAACCCUGCCAUCCUUCAUUACUGAGGAAAGGAAGAUUGUAGUGGUGUGUGACUACAGACUCAACUCUGAAGCUCUGAGGCUUUCAUCUAGCGGAACUAUAUUGAGAAGCUGACAUGAUGAGUCCACAAAACAGGGAAAGUUCCCUGGACUGAGAACAUGGGCAUAGUGUGAGCUCAGCCGAGCAGAAUGAAAAUCUUCUUGGACUGUGCAACAUGUUUCACCUCAAUUAAGCUACAGGAACAUAAUUUCUUCUAGAGAUUUGGGCAUUUCCAUUUAGACUGACUUUAGAGCCUCCAGGAUCCACCUGUCUUCAACUUCCUAGGACUGGAAUUGUGAACGUAUCCUAACAUGCCAACUCUUCCCAUGAGUGCUGGGAAUCAAAUUCAAUUCGUCAUGCUCGGAAGACAAACACUUUACUGACUGAAGCAAGAGGCAAACAAAAAUUAAUAAAAAUACAAAACACAAGCGGUUUGGGAUGAACAAGGGGAUCCACGACUGAAGCAGGGGCAUGUGGAGCUGAAGGGUGAAAGUAAGUGCAGCAUCAAGAGCACCCUUUAGCACCAGCUAAGCCUGGAGCUUCUAUUUGAGAACUAGUUUGAUUUGUCCAUGUUCGAUGGCAUGGGUAAGUGGUGUCUUCAGCAACAGAGCUUUGCUAACAGGUUGUGGAGAGUAGCCAGUAGCUUUGCAGUAUUGUGCAUACUUGUGGUAUUUAAGGGGUCUAAUGAGCAUUUUUGUCCAACAGAUCAUCAAAAUUUAAUCUAUUGCUUCACUGAAUGUUUUUCUUGAUGACAAAAUAUGUCAAGUCUUCUUUAUUAUAUGCUGCCUACAUUUUAAUUCAUUUAAAAUAUGUAUAUAUUUAGAAAUCUUCUACAGUGGUAGGUUUCUAUGUGGCUGUUUCAAGCCUUUAGUGUUAGUUGUCCAUCUCUAUGUCCCCUUUCCCCCUACUCUUUCAUCCCUCUUCCCAGUUAAUCCUGCUAUCCCAGUUUCCUGUUGUCUCUUCACAGCACUGUUAUAUUUCCCUAAUAUGUCUCAGUAGCAUUGAUCUUAUUGGCCUGAAUCUUCUCUUCUCCACAUGCUGAGCUAAGAUAUGUACAAACAAAAGGAAGUGAGAGGAGCCUCGCAUGGCCUUCCUUUGAGAGGCUCCAUCUAAGAACUGACUCAGAGAGAUGAAAGCAUUGGAUGGAGUUUGGGGACUCUUAAUGGAAGAAUUGGAGGAAGGAUUGAGUAAUGGAAUAGGAACUCCAUAGGAAGAUCAACAGAGUCAACUAACCUGGAAUUGUUGGAGGAUCUCAGAAACUGAACCACCAACCAAACAACAUACAUGGGCCCGACCUAGAUCUGCAGAUGUGCAACUUGGUCUUCAUGUGGGUUCUGAACAAUAGGAGCAAUGGUUCUCCCUAAAGCUGUUGCCAGUCUGUGGAAUUCCAGAGUAUGUUUUAUCUAAGGAUGAAUUUAUUCAUUAAUUGAAAAAAUGCUUCUUCCUAGCCACUGCACUAACAAGGCUUUCUUGCUGCCUGUGGGUUCUCUGCCUUGGAUGGGGAAUUUUCAUCUGCCAUGUAACAUUACAAGCCUCACUGAGCCUCACUGUCACUGCUCUGUUAAACAAAGGCUCUUUGUCUUUGACUCCCCUCACCAUUCAUACCAGUCUCCCCCCUCCCACAGCCUGUCAUCCUUUACUGUUUCCAACAUACACAAUAAACUUUGAUUUAUCUAACACACACACACACACACACACACAUACACACACACACAUACACACACACAAACUUAUUUGUGUGCUGGAAGUGUAUGUCAGUGGUUAAACAUGCACAUGACUAUAAUGUACACAGUACCCUGAGCUCCAUCCCCCAACACCACAGAAAAUUUUGUAUUCUGUUUCAAUUUUAUAGUCAUACAUCAUUCGCAUUUCACCAGAAAAGGAUUCUAAGAAGUUAAUGACUAUAAUGUAUGUACAACUGAAUAAUAGUAACACAAAACACAUUGCCUAUUGUACAUACUCAGUGUUUGCUUAGUGAAUGGAUAGAUUCACUAAUUAAUAUGCAUCUGCAUAUUAAUUGCAUGCCAGGAGAAAGUUAAGAAUUCCAUGUGUUUUGUUUUGUUUUGUAUUUUUAAUUUUGUCAUCAUAACAAUUUUAUGGGCAUGAAUCAUUAGUCUCAUUUUAUAGAUAAGGAAACAACCUAAAAUAUUGUGAUAGUCUAUCCAGAACACCGUUAACAAACAAUAUUGUGAUUUGAUGUUUUAUUAGCCAGUCAUACUAAUGACAUUUAUAAUCCAGUUAUCUAGUAUUUAUUGAAUCAAUGCUAUCAUACAUUGCUCUUUCACACAGCUGGAAGGCGAUGGUUUCUUGUGUUCAUUAGGUGUGCUCUUUAACAUGUCCUAUGAAUAUGACAGUCUGAAUGGCGAUAAUAAGAGUUUGUCUUCUCAGUUCUUUACUUAUCUCCCUCCCUAGCCAACUGAGGAAGUAAACAUACAGAAAAGCUUCUCCUUUUCUGGAAACAGUCUGAACAAAAUAAAAAUCUCCUUAUAUCUCA